rnacentral:rRNA from 1 species
GUUGGGGGGCUUGACCCCUUAGUGGCGAAGCUAACGCGAUAAGUAGACCGCCUGGGGAGUACGGUCGCAAGAUUAAAACUCAAAUGAAUUGACGGGGGCCCGCACAAGCGGUGGAGCAUGUGGUUUAAUUCGAUGCAACGCGAAAAACCUUACCAGGCCUUGACAUCCUGAGAAUUCGGUAGAGAUACCUUAGUGCCUUCGGGAACUCAAUGACAGGUGUUGCAUGGCUGUCGUCAGCUCGUGUCGUGAGAUGUUGGGUUAAGUCCCGUAACGAGCGCAACCCUUAUCCUUAUUUGCCAGCACGUAAUGGUGGGAACUCUAAGGAGACUGCCGGUGACAAACCGGAGGAAGGAGAGGAUGACGUCAAGUCAUCAUGGCCCUUACGGCCUGGGCUACACACGUGCUACAAUGGAAAGUACAGAGGGCCGCAAUGCCGCGAGGUGGAGCAAAUCCCAGAAAACUUUUCGUAGUCCGGAUCGGAGUCUGCAACUCGACUCCGUGAAGUCGGAAUCGCUAGUAAUCGCGAAUCAGCAUAUCGCGGUGAAUACGUUCCCGGGCCUUGUACACACCGCCCGUCACAUCAUGGGAGUGGGUUGCACCAGAAGUAGCUAGUUUAACCUUCGGGAGAACGGUUACCACGGUGUGAUUCAUGACUGGGAUG